AUGCGUACCGCAUGUGUACAGAUUGAUCGCAAUUGGCAGUUACAAGAUUCACUCCCAUGUGUGAGAAUGUACAUGAUUUCCUCCUUGUGUAACUCAAAACAGUUACAAGUUGUCGUGCUCGAUGACCUGCGCCCCCCUCCACUCCUCGCCGGGGCCAACGACGACGGGCACGAGGAUGGACGCCGGCCCGGUGCAGAGGAAGUAGUCGUUGCCGAACUUCUCGUACAAUCCUCCCGGGCUGCUCAGGUACAGGUCCUCGAACCCCAUCCUCACAAGCCUGAACCCGAGCCCGCUAGACUGUCCAAGCAAAUCACAAAGCAUAUCAUCACUGAGCAAUGCGGCUGA
rnacentral:rRNA from 1 species